rfam:Cricetulus griseus cell line CHO-K1, whole genome shotgun sequence.
GGGGAUGUAGCUCAGUUGGUAUAGUACUUGCCUAACAUGCAUGAAGCCCUGGGCUCGAGCCCCAGCAUCCCAU